UUGAACGCUGGCGGUAUGCUUUACACAUGCAAGUCGAACGGGCUAUGGGGCUUGCUCCAUAGUUAGUGGCGAACGGGUGAGUAAUAUAUCGGAACAUAUCCGGAAGUGGGGGAUAACGUAGCGAAAGUUACGCUAAUACCGCAUAUGCCCUGAGGGGGAAAGGGGGGGAUCGCAAGACCUCUCGCUUUCGGAGUGGCCGAUAUCGGAUUAGCUAGUAGGUGAGGUAAAGGCUCACCUAGGCGACGAUCCGUAGCUGGUCUGAGAGGACGACCAGCCACACUGGAACUGAGACACGGUCCAGACUCCUACGGGAGGCAGCAGUGGGGAAUUUUGGACAAUGGGCGAAAGCCUGAUCCAGCCAUACCGCGUGAGUGAAGAAGGCCUUCGGGUUGUAAAGCUCUUUCGGCGGGGAAGAAAUCGCACGGGUUAAUACCUCGUGUGGAUGACGGUACCCGAAUAAGAAGCACCGGCUAACUACGU
rnacentral:rRNA from 1 species